UUUGGAAACAGAAGGCCUCUUACGGAUCCCUGGAGCUGCCAUUAGAAUCAAGAAUCUUUGCCAAGAACUAGAAGCAAAGUUUUAUGAAGGGACUUUUAAUUGGGAAAGUGUCAAACAGCAUGAUGCCGCCAGCCUGCUGAAGCUCUUCAUUCGGGAGUUGCCCCAGCCACUGCUCAGUGUGGAGUAUCUCAAAGCCUUUCAGGCUGUCCAGAGCCCUUCUUGAAUUUCUCCAAAGAGUAAUAGAUAAUAAAGAAAAAAAUAAAAUGACAGUCAUGAAUGUAGCAAUGGUCAUGGCCCCGAAUCUCUUUAUGUGUCAUGCAUUGGGAUUGAAGUCCAGUGAACAGCGAGAAUUUGUAAUGGCAGCUGGGACAGCAAAUACCAUGCACUUAUUGAUUAAGUACCAAAAACUUCUGUGGACAAUUCCCAAGUUUAUUGUAAACCAAGUGAGGAAGCAAAACACGGAAAAUCAUAAAAAGGAUAAAAGAGCCAUGAAGAAAUUGCUGAAGAAA
rnacentral:lncRNA from 1 species